GGUUGCGAUCAUACCAGCACUAAAGCACCGGAUCCCAUCAGAACUCCGCAGUUAAGCGUGCUUGGGCGAGAGUAGUACUAGGAUGGGUGACCCCCUGGGAAGUCCUCGUGUUGCAACCCC
rnacentral:rRNA from 1 species